GCCACCGGAGAAACCACGGAGUAGAGAGAAAGAGAGCUCGUCAUCGCGAGAAAAGGGUGAGAUAGACGCCACCGAUGCACUCGUGUGUGCCCAACCAUUCAGGCCCCACUGCUGGCGCUGAACCUUUCUAAGGCCUCCUUGGGUUGUUGCGCGGUGACCUUGGACACGGAGGCGACCUAGGAUCUCGGGGAUUCCUCGCCGGAAUUGGAGAAGCCGUCGUGCUCAUGCUCUGCCGUGGCCAGGGAUAGCGGCGCUGCGAUUCACGACGGGCAAGCAACUAAGGACCCAGGUGCUCAGCAGUUGGAAAAUAC
rnacentral:lncRNA from 1 species